GGGGGGGGGGGGGGGGGGGGCGGGGGGGGGGAGGGGGGGGGAGCGGGCGGGGAGCUGGCGCCUCUGACGGUAGCGGCGGACGGGUGGGGAACACGGGGAUAACCUGCCUAUAAGACUGGGAUAACUUCGGGCAACCGGAGCUAAUACCGGAUAAUAUAUUGAACCGCAUGGUUCAAUAGUGAAAGACGGUUUUGCUGUCACUUAUAGAUGGAUCCGCGCCGCAUUAGCUAGUUGGUAAGGUAACGGCUUACCAAGGCAACGAUGCGUAGCCGACCUGAGAGGGUGAUCGGCCACACUGGAACUGAGACACGGUCCAGACUCCUACGGGAGGCAGCAGUAGGGAAUCUUCCGCAAUGGGCGAAAGCUUGACGGAGCAACGCCGCGUGAGUGAUGAAGGUCUUCGGAUCGUAAAACUCUGUUAUUAGGGAAGAACAAAUGUGUAAGUAACUAUGCACGUCUUGACGGUACCUAAUCAGAAAGCCACGGCUAACUACGUG
rnacentral:rRNA from 1 species